UUCCAGACUCCUACGGGAGGCAGCAGUGAGGAAUAUUGGUCAAUGGGCGGAAGCCUGAACCAGCCAAGUCGCGUGAGGGAAUAAGGCCCUACGGGUCGUAAACCUCUUUUGCCGGGGAGCAAGGGCCGGGACGAGUCCCGGUCCGGAGAGUACCCGGAGAAAAAGCAUCGGCUAACUCCGUGCCAGCGGCCGCGGUAAUACGGAGGAUGCGAGCGUUAUCCGGAUUUAUUGGGUUUAAAGGGUGCGUAGGCGGGCUUUUAAGUCAGCGGUAAAAAUUCGGGGCUCAACCCCGUCCGGCCGUUGAAACUGGGGGCCUUGAGUGGGCGAGAAGAAGGCGGAAUGCGUGGUGUAGCGGUGAAAUGCAUAGAUAUCACGAAGAACUCCGAUUGCGAAGGCAGUUCACUGGACUGCAACUGACACUGAGGCUCGAAAGUGUGGGUAUCAAACAGGAUUAGAUACCCCCGUAG
rnacentral:rRNA from 1 species